rnacentral:rRNA from 1 species
UGGCGGACGGGUGAGUAACGCGUAGGGAUGUGCCUAUGAGUACGGAAUAACCGUUGGAAACGACGGCUAAUACCGUAUACGCCCCAAGGGGGAAAGCUCCGGCGCUCAUAGAGCAACCUGCGUCCGAUUAGCUUGUUGGUGAGGUAAUGGCUCACCAAGGCCGCGAUCGGUAGCUGGUCUGAGAGGAUGGUCAGCCACACUGGGACUGAGACACGGCCCAGACUCC